CCUACGGGUGGCAGCAGUGAGGAAUAUUGGUCAAUGGACGAGAGUCUGAACCAGCCAAGUAGCGUGAAGGAUGACUGCCCUAUGGGUUGUAAACUUCUUUUAUAUGGGAAUAAAAUGUUCCACGUGUGGGAUUUUGUAUGUACCAUAUGAAUAAGGAUCGGCUAACUCCGUGCCAGCAGCCGCGGUAAUACGGAGGAUCCGAGCGUUAUCCGGAUUUAUUGGGUUUAAAGGGAGCGUAGGUGGAUUGUUAAGUCAGUUGUGAAAGUUUGCGGCUCAACCGUAAAAUUGCAGUUGAAACUAGCAGUCUUGAGUACAGUAGAGGUGGGCGGAAUUCGUGGUGUAGCGGUGAAAUGCUUAGAUAUCACGAAGAACUCCGAGUGCGAAGGCAGUUCACUGGACUGCAACUGACACUGAGGCUCGAAAGUGUGGGUAUCAAACAGGAUUAGAUACCCCUGUAGUC
rnacentral:rRNA from 1 species